rnacentral:tRNA from 1 species
UGGGAUACAGCUCAAUGAUAGAGUGAUUGUCUACCAAGUACAAAGCCUAGGUUCAAUCCCUAGCAUCACAU